GCCCUUGUUCAGUCUUUUGUUUCUCAAAAGUGCAGACAUCUGAAGGUGGAGUGAGAUAAUUUCAUUGUUUUACAAGGUGAAUCGGAUGGUUGUUGGUUACGUACACAGCAACAGAAGUGAAGCCACUCGAUAAAUACAAAUUCAAAAGUUUUUAUGGAAUGAAGAUCUCUAAUGUGAAAGUGAAACUAAGCAAUAGAAGCAGAAGCUUAGACACCAAAAGCUUAAUUUUCAAGUAGGAUGACUGCUAAUGAACGCUGAUGUUGCUCUUUAUUUGCCGGAUAUGUUAAUAUAUAAUUCUAUUCACCAUAGCAAAUGAAGAUUGUGAUGAUAUGCCAAUAUUUGUUUUUUGGCUUCUCUUCCUGGCAGACACAAAGUGGUAAAAAUGAAUGAAUAACAACACAAAGAAAAGAGUAUUCAUGCAGCUUUAAAGCCACUAUAAAGUAUGUAGGAUUUAUUAUACUAGCAA